rnacentral:lncRNA from 1 species
GAGAGAGGUCUUCCUACUGGGAGAUAGUCAGCGAUGGGACGCAUGCGGUGCCUUGCAAUGGUGACGCUGCACACCGCCAGUACACACGAAGGCAGGCAAACAUAAGAGCUCUUUUUUUUGACAGCACCGUAAAAUUGUGCAUCAGAGGACAAUAAAGAACGAUGGAUUCCUUCACAUGCUGUCUCACCUGUUUCUUAGGCAAACUCUCCAACAGCCGCGCCCUGCCGAUCCUGCAUGCGAUGCGAAGGAAUUUCGAUACUAGUAUUCGACUGGCGCGCGUCUGUCUUCUACUCUACGCGUGCCUUUACUGUGCUUCCUAGCAACCACACCCUUCAUCGUUCUGAUGUGUUCUUCACGGGGUACUAUCCAUGCGACAGAUUGGCCCAAACGCAGUCCCUGGAUUUCUGGCAGGUGACCCUUCGUGGUGUGGCGGGUUCUUCCGGUUGUACGGUACUUUUGCCAGUGGAGUAACACACACAGUCAUCAGGAGAGGUGGCAGAUUUAUUGGGUUCCCCUAAAGAUAAGCAGGAAGCGUGCAAAUGAUGCGAUAUUUGUUCGACGACACUGCUUAGCAGCCAAGGCGACAGCGACGCGGUUGGCCAACAGCAGCGUCCUGGAUUUUUUGAGAGCGUUCGAGCAGAGGCCAGCUUUUGUUCCCCAGCUGGGCAAUUACGCCUAUGCAAGGCGUUUCUUGUACAACCUGCCGUUUCUCUGUUCGCAGGCUUCGAUCCCGUUGGAAAGCCGAAUUUUCAUUCUCGAGGUGCCCUCCUCACCGCGGACCUACACUGUUUAGACGUACCUCUAGUAUGCCGAACGAAUGGCUGAAAUUUUUUAGUGCUCGUCUCUAAUCUGGGCACCUGUAGAAAAUGUACCUGCUCGACGCUGACAGACUGACGCAUGCUCUCGUUCGAAGAAAUAUGUUUGACGGUGACUUUCUCGGGAUGACCCGGACAGGGGCACUGGACUCGUGAUCCCAGAGUCCAUCUCCUUCGUUAGCCUCGAAAGCAUUUUCUUCGUGGAUCCCGUACCAACCUGUCGAGCUGUUGGUUGCGUGCUCGCUGAGGGUCUCUUCUGGGGCGAAGGUGGUUGGACCUGGUAAUGCUAGAUUAACACACGUGACGCACAAAUGAAGGCAAGGAUACUGAACAGAACAUCCCCGUGACGGAGGUCGAAUGUGCUCUGGUGGUUCCCACGGGGAUGGGAUGCACUGGAAAAUAUCUCUCGAAGGGGCGGCCGAUCGGGCUCUUCGCCGCUCUCGUUUGGCCAAGCGGCCAUUCGUACCGUGUCCGACACCCAUUCGGCGUUUGGCUGCCAUGCCACGCUAUGAAUGAAGCGGCAGGAUUCGCUUACUGUGUUUACCACGAUGAAUUAGAACAGAAUACCAAGUGCAUCGCCCCGCGAGCACUGUUAUCGCCCCGCGAGCACUGUGAUCGGCUGUAGGGGUUCGAGACUGGGCCUUGUCCUCGGAGUGUGGCUGAGAGACGCCUCCCCUCUGGUCUCCUUGCCUAGUGAGUAUCUGGGGGGACUGUCUUUGGAGAAUCUUUAUCGUUGUGUCAGUUCUAAAGCCGAGCAGCGAAUCUCUUCGCCAGGCGAGCGGAUUUGUGUGUUGUCUAACGACAUCAGUACCUCAAUGACUGUGCGGGAAAAUUGCUGCAGGCUCAGACACUUUUUUUCCGGUAUCGUGCCCUUAAUCGGUUGG